CAUACACUUACUUGCUAUUCUGGUUUCAUCUAUUACUGUUUGAAUUUCAACAGACCAUAGAACAGAUCCUCUUGUCUUGGUGUCCUGCCUGGGUGUAGCAUUAGGUGUCACGUUCACCUUGAUCAUUGUCCUGGUUUGCAUCAUGUACAAGAUGAACAACACAACAUGUGUGCAGUGCAGAGGACUCGUCUCUCAGACCAGAGGUCCUGCAGUUACCCAGUCAGAUGCAGGGGACCAAGAUGGAAACAGUCUCCAUUACGUAGCUCUGAAUCUGAGCAACAAGAAGAACAGGUCUAGAAGACAGAGAGGUCACAUGGAGACAGUGGUGUACGCUGGAAUCAGACAGUAGAACUGGAUGAAUGAAACAAUUAUCAUUUUAUACUAGAUAACUCUUUAAUAACUAGUUCUAGCUUCAUUAACUAUCUAUGAAUGCAUAAGCAGUCAAACGUGAUAAAAACAGUGGUCAUAGCUUUUUUGUUAUACAAUGUUGAAAUAAUUGAAUGCAUUGCUAUUUUUUGUUGUUGUUGAAUAAUAAUUAUAAUAAUAAUAAUAAUAAUAGUAAUAAUUAGGGGGGUGCUUAUAUUUGUCUUGGUACACAAGUGUGUAAUGGAAAUGUUUUUUUUGUUGCUAAUCCCAACUCCCCCUGAGGCACCCACAGGGAGUGGGUUCAUAGCCAGGGUCACCAUUGUACAGCACACCUGGA